UCCAGAGGGUGCGAGCGUUGUCCGGAAUCACUGGGCGUAAAGGGCGCGUAGGCGGCUUGAUAAGCGUGCGGUGAAAGCCCGGGGCUCAACCCCGGGUCGGCCGUGCGAACUGUCGAGCUGGAGCACUGUAGAGGCAGGUGGAAUUCCGGGUGUAGCGGUGGAAUGCGUAGAGAUCCGGAAGAACACCGGUGGUGAAGGCGGCCUGCUGGGCAGUGGCUGACGCUGAGGCGCGACAGCGUGGGGAGCAAACAGG
rnacentral:rRNA from 1 species